rnacentral:lncRNA from 1 species
AGUGCACAUGAUGCGAAAAAUGAUGAAGAGAACUCUCAUGAUGUCCUCUUUGUCACACUAUUACAUGAAAUUCCAUUAAAGCUACCUUGAUAGCAGAAUACAUUGCUUUAUCCUACUCAGUUAUUAUAAAUCACAGGAUAUUAAGGACUAAAUUUUAUUGCUGAGUAAGGUGAUCCUGGAGACUAAAUGAAACCACUAACAGAAGAACAUCAUAAAUUUGACUU